CAGUCGCCGCGGUAAUACGUAGGGUGCAAGCGUUAAUCGGAAUUACUGGGCGUAAAGCGUGCGCAGGCGGUUUGUUAAGACAGAUGUGAAAUCCCCGGGCUCAACCUGGGAACUGCAUUUGUGACUGGCAGGCUAGAGUAUGGCAGAGGGGGGUGGAAUUCCGCGUGGAGCGGUGAAAUGCGUUGAGAUCGGAAAGAACACCAACGGCGAAAGCACUCUGCUGGGCCGACACUGACACUGAGAGACGAAAGCUAGGGGAGCAAAUGGGAUUAGAUACCCCCGUAGUCCCUGUCUCUUAUAC
rnacentral:rRNA from 1 species